rnacentral:rRNA from 1 species
UACGUAGGGGGCAAGCGUUGUCCGGAAUCAUUGGGCGUAAAGAGCGUGUAGGCGGCCCGGUAAGUCCGCUGUGAAAGUCGGGGGGCUCAACCCUCGAAUGCCGGUGGAUACUGUCGGGCUAGAGUGCGGAAGAGGCGAGUGGAAUUCCUGGUGUAGCGGUGAAAUGCGUAGAGAUGUGGAGGAACACCAGUGGCGAAGGCGACUCUUUGGUCUGUAACUGACGCUGAGGCGCGAAAGCGUGGGGAGCAAACAGGG